AUUUCUAACCUUAGCCUAGUUGACAUGGCAUCUGCCAGGUAAGCGGAACACUGUGGGUUCGAUUCCCAUCCCUGGAUACU
rnacentral:tRNA from 1 species